GAAGAGUUUGAUCAUGGCUCAGAUUGAACGCUGGCGGCAGGCCUAACACAUGCAAGUCGAACGGUAACAGGAAGCAGCUUGCUGCUUUGCUGACGAGUGGCGGACGGGUGAGUAAUGUCUGGGAAACUGCCUGAUGGAGGGGGAUAACUACUGGAAACGGUGGCUAAUACCGCAUAACGUCGCAAGACCAAAGAGGGGGACCUUCGGGCCUCUUGCCAUCAGAUGUGCCCAGAUGGGAUUAGCUUGUUGGUGAGGUAACGGCUCACCAAGGCGACGAUCCCUAGCUGGUCUGAGAGGAUGACCAGCCACACUGGAACUGAGACACGGUCCAGACUCCUACGGGAGGCAGCAGUGGGGAAUAUUGCACAAUGGGCGCAAGCCUGAUGCAGCCAUGCCGCGUGUAUGAAGAAGGCCUUCGGGUUGUAAAGUAC
rnacentral:rRNA from 3 species